rnacentral:misc_RNA from 1 species
UUUCCGUAGUGAACCUGCGGAAGGAUCAUUAAUAAAUGGUCUACGUUUUUUUAAGUAGACGCUUAAUAAUCCUACCCUUUGUGAAUUUGUUGUUUUGAAAUAAUUUUUUUUUAAAAUUAUUGAUUGUCUUUCCCUGUUGAAUUGGUUGUCUUAAUGCAAAUGAUUCGCAGGGAGUGUCAGUAAUUUUUAAAAAGACCUUUUUUAAAAUUAAACUUUUGUAUUCAUUUGUCUAAAAAUUAUUUUUAUAAUAUAAAACAACUUUUGACAAUGGAUCUCUUGGUUCUCGCAACGAUGAAGAACGCAGCAAAUGCGAUAAGUAGUGUGAACUGCAGGAUACGUGAAUCAUCGAAUCUUCGAACGCAUAUCGCACUUUUUAGUUUACUAAAAAAGUAUGUCUGUUUGAGUAUCAGUAAAAUAUUCUCAUAAAAACUUUUUGUUUUUAUGGCUAUGAGUGUUUUACAACGAUACAAGUUGUUUCACUUUAAAUUUUUUUUAAAAUUUGAAUUUUUCUAAUUUUAAAAUAAAAUUGGAUAAAAUUUCCCGUAAAAAGGAAUAACUAAACAAUUUUAAUUUUGAUUAGAAUUCUUCAAUUAUAAAGGAAAAUUUAACUAAAUAACUUGAUCUCAAAUCAGAUAAGAGUACCGCUGAACUUAAGCAUAUCAAUAAGCGGAGGAAAAGAAACUAACAAGGAUUCCCUUAGUAACGCCGAGUGAAGCGGGAAGAGCUCAAAUUUGAAAUCUUCAAGGUUUUACCUUGACGAAUUGUAGUUUAAAGAAGGUUUUCUGUUGAAGUUUUGGUAAAAGUUCUUUGGAAUAGGACAUCAUAGAGGGUGAGAAUCCCGUAUUUGACCAUUAUUUUCAGCUGUGUGAUACACUUUCAAAGAGUCGGAUUGUUUGGGAAUGCAGUCCAAAAUGGGUGGUAAAUUUCAUCUAAAGCUAAAUAUUGGCGAGAGACCGAUAGCGAACAAGUACCGUGAGGAAAGAUGAAAAGAACUUUGAAAAGAGAGUUAAACAGUACGUGAAAUUGUCAAAAGGGAAGCGUUUGACACCAGUGUUGUUUUCUCGAAAAUCAAUUAAAAAAAGUUGGAUUUUGUGUUGUAUUGACCUUAACAGCUUGCUUCACUCUUUUCUUGCUUUUUUUUAAUGCACUUUUCGUUUAACAAGUCAACAUCAGUUUCUUUUGUUGUAAAAGGGUCAUUGGAAGGUGGCUUUCACUUCGGAGAAAGUGUUUAUAGCCUUUGAUCUCUGCAAUCGGAGAGACUGAGGUCUGCAGCGUAGAUCCUUCGGGUUAGAUACAUUUGUGCUAAGCUACAGCUUUUCAUAGACAACUUGUUGACUAUGUUUAGUCUUGUAACUUACCCGCUUAUGCUAUUU